GGAAACAGAGGAGGAUAACCAGAGAAGAGAUAGUAGUUUGGGCAUGAGUAUGUCAGUAGAGGAUAUGGGAGAGUCCCAAGGAGGCACUCACGCCUCGGGCUUUGUUCCACCACAGUAUCCACCCUACCCGCAAGGGCCAGGGUAUCCGAUGGGAGGUACAUCAGAUUUCUUUAGCCAUAAUCCAUAUCCCACCUUUAUGCCCUAUCCUCCCUUUUACCCACAG
rnacentral:lncRNA from 1 species